GUAUCCUCCCGGGUAGCCUGUGGAAGCCUCUGCAACCUCACCAGGGUCCGCGACUAUAAACAUAGGAUGCAAGUCGCGUAGCGGCAACAUGAUCGAAUUGCGGGGAUCUCCUAAAGCCUAGCGGUACCAACGCCCCGAGGAAACUCGCGGCGGGCCAGUGCUAACCACACUGGGGGUCAGAAUCUGCUAGGAUGCGACAAUGGAUAAUCCGCAGCGAAGUCCCUAACGGCGGCAGCCCACGGGAAACGUUCACAGACUAGGUGGUCGUGGGUAGGCGAGUCCUGCUUAAGAUAUAGUCGGGCGCUGUAGGAAACUACGGCGGUGCACCGUUCCGUAGGUGAACCUGCGGAAGGAUCAUUACAGAGUUCAUGCCCUUCGGGGUAGAUCUCCCACCCUUGUGUAUCAUUAUAGAAUGUUGCUUUGGCGGGCCGCGUGCCUAGCACGCCUAGCGUGCCCGCCAGAGGACCCCUAAACUCUGAAUGUCAGUGUCGUCUGAGUACUAUUAAAUAGUUAAAACUUUCAACAACGGAUCUCUUGGUUCUGGCAUCGAUGAAGAACGCAGCGAAAUGCGAUAAGUAAUGUGAAUUGCAGAAUUCAGUGAAUCAUCGAAUCUUUGAACGCACAUUGCGCCCCUUGGUAUUCCGGGGGGCAUGCCUGUUCGAGCGUCAUUUAUACCAAUCUAGCCUGGCUAGGUGUUGGGCUUCGCCAUCUAGGCGGGCCUUAAAACCAGUGGCGGUGCUCUCAGGCUCUACGCGUAGUAAUUUUCUCGCUAUAGGGCCCUGGGAGAUGCUGGCCAGCAACCCCCCAUUUUUCUAGGUUGACCUCGGAUCAGGUAGGGAUACCCGCUGAACUUAAGCAUAUCAAUAAGCGGAGGAAAAGAAACCAACAGGGAUUACCUCAGUAACGGCGAGUGAAGCGGUAACAGCUCAAAUUUGAAAUCUGGCUCUUUUAGGGUCCGAGUUGUAAUUUGUAGAAGAUGCUUUGGGUGUGGCCCUGGUCUAAGUUCCUUGGAACAGGACGUCAUAGAGGGUGAGAAUCCCGUAUGUGACUAGGUGCUUUCGCCCGUGUAAAGCUCUUUCGACGAGUCGAGUUGUUUGGGAAUGCAGCUCAAAAUGGGUGGUAAAUUUCAUCUAAAGCUAAAUAUUGGCCAGAGACCGAUAGCGCACAAGUAGAGUGAUCGAAAGAUGAAAAGCACUUUGGAAAGAGAGUUAAACAGUACGUGAAAUUGUUGAAAGGGAAGCGCUUGCAACCAGACUUAGGCGCGGCCGAUCAUCUAGGGUUCUCCCUGGUGCACUCGGUCGUCUCUAGGCCAGCAUCGGUUUGGGUGGUGGGAUAAAGGCCUUGGGAAUGUAGCUUCUUUCGGGGAGUGUUAUAGCCCUCGGUGCAAUGCCGCCUACCUGGACCGAGGACCGC
rnacentral:rRNA from 1 species